rnacentral:lncRNA from 1 species
UCAAGAGUCCUGGGGCAUCAGAGAAGGCUUCCUUGAAGGAUGGGUGUCAGCAGAGAUCUCAACGGAGUGAGCUACUAAGUGGUGUUGGAGUGACUUCUAACUCUGGGCUCCCGGAUGAAGGGAAGAUGAGGCCUCCGUGGAAACCAAAGACACUGGUGCUGGAGGGUCCAGGGAAGGCCCAGGAGGAGGAGGGGCUGGCGGGACGCAGCAGGACACCACCAGGGAGAAGCCACACCGGAGCCUGUUCUUCCUCGGUCACCCCCAGAUGUUGCAGCCCAGGAGCAGCUGGGCGGGGCCUUGAUGCCAGGAGCGUCUGCGUGUCCUGAGCCCUCUUCCUUCCUCCAGGAGGUCCCGUUUCUGCUGCGGCCCACUGAUCUCAGUGGCUCCACGGGGCUGCCCCAGUGACAGUCUCUCCCCAGCAGGAGCUGGAGAUCCUACCCCUUGGAUGGGAACAAAAUUAGGGAACAGUUGAAUUAAAGUUCAUUCUUACUAUCCCGUAGGCAUAUCUACGUAUGUGUACAUAUAGAAAGAUAUGUAUAUGCAUAUAUGCGUACAUGUGUAUAUAUGCAUAUAUAUGUAACGCUUAUGUACACACACAUAUACACACCAAAUGUUAACUGGGGCUGCUUCUGGGUCAUGGAAUGACCUGUGACUUUUAUUUCUAUCUUUAUGCAUUCCGGAAUUUCUAAAUUUCCUAUAAUGAACACGUAAUAGAAAAAUUAUGAACAAAACCGGCUCUCCGGCCAUCAGGGGCGGUUGUGCUGCAUGCCUUUCUUGGGCCUGAAGAGCUGGCCCCCGGGCUCAGCCUGUCUGGUCCGGUCUGGCGGCAGGUGGGCAGCUGGGGCUGAGGACGGGGUGUGGGGGUGUUGGGGAGAUGUUCAUUCACAGGAAGGACCCAGGAGCUUCCUGGAGCUUCUGGAGCAUAGCUGCUGUUGUCUUCAAGACGCCUGACUCCUCGAAUUAGCUGCACCUCAUCUUCUAGCUCCCUGCUCACCCCAGCCGGGGGGCGAGAAGGAGUUAAGAUUCGUAUAUAUAUUCAAUCAAGCAACAAGCCCUCCCCUUUGCCAGCUCAGGGGUGCAACCCGUGCUCUUCGUCCACGUCUCGUGGUGGUCAGCUGUCCUGUUUCUGCUCCUUUUGCACUGGCUGGAUGCUGGCAGUUGGGGGUGGUGAGGGGUGGGCGGUGUGGAUGUUCACAGCCCUGGGAGACCGGCUGGGGCCCCUCACCCUCUCUGACAGCUUGGAGUCCCGG